ensembl:misc_RNA 7SK 7SK RNA
GGAUAUGAGGGUGAUCUGGCUAUGACAGCUGUCACCCCACUGAUUGCCAGGUUUGAUUUGACUGAUCUGGCUGGCCUAGCAGGUAUCCUUUCUCCUUCAGCACUCCAUGUGCAUUCUUCUUGAGGACAACUUUGGUCAAAGAGGACAACCUUCCCUGAUAGAGGAAGACUGUUCUUCCAUCCACGGUAUAGGAGUAGUUUUACUUCCCUGCUACAACCUCAAAACAGGCUCUGUUGGUCCAUUUAUAGAAGAACAUAGGGUAGUCAAGCUUCUAAGACUCCAGACAGAUCCAGAUGAGGUGCUGCUUGUGGCAAUCUGCCUUUCUUU